CACUGGAAUUUUCCUUAGAAAAAACUGGACAUUGGUCCAGUAGGAGUAGCUAUUCCACUUGUGCGUGCCCAAAUUUUUCAAUGACUUUGAACAAGGUGCUGAAAUCCUCACUCACUGUGAAGAAAUAGUAGCCUACAGAUGUUUUUCUUAGAAAUCAGAAGAGCUGUUCCUACAAAUGGCACGAGAAGGAAAUGUGGAUAUGUCUGACGUGCUUUACGUUGAAGUACAGUGGUCUCCAGUGCUCUGACACGGCCUCCUGGGUCUCUGGAUGGAAAUACACCAUAAAAAUAGGAAAGCUCAGCAGAUCCCAGAAGUAGACUUUAUUUUCUUACUCCUGGUGAUGUGGCACUGCUGAUAGCGCCGUGACUCUUUACAUCUCUCUUCUCAGGGCUGGAUUCGUGCAUGAGGUCUGCAUGCAGCUGCAGAGAGAAGUGAUGGAGGCUUUGGAGGGUGCCUGGCAUCCAGACAGGGUCAAUCCAACACUGCACAUGAAGUUAUGGACCUCAAGAUGUGCCUCUGAAGUUUGUAGAGCAGAAGAAGAAACAUUACCAGGGGAUGAUGCCCUAAUUAUUCCAGAGUUCAGCACCACCACUCACUACCAUUCAUCCUCCUUCCCUCCUGCUGGCUGGGCUGCACAGCUGAGCCUGAGUCAGCUUACCAAAGUUAUCAGCACAAGUGAAUCACUUCCAUAUGAAGCUGAUAAGGGAAGUAAAAGUUUUUGCUGUAUCAGCACAAGAUAUUUGCUUUAAUUCUUCACACUUUUAUUUAUUUUCAUAUAUAUAUAUAUAUAUCUGUAUGUAUGCGUAAUGUUAAAGUAAUUCCUCUAUCAUAUUUACAUGUCAGUGAUCAGUCUGCUAAAUCAUCACAGAAAAGCUUAUGCAACACAAAAGGGUCUCUUUGUGUUACUCUUGUCUUCUGCCUUCUGGAGAUCCCCAUAGUAUCAGAUAAGGCAGCUGAAUAUCAGUGUUCCUGCUAUUAAGCACAUAUUUUAAAAGGAAUAUAUUAAUAUAAGCAUCUAUUUUAAAUUCAUCCUGUCAUUUUUAGUGAAACAGUAACUGAAACAAAGCUGUUAAUUUCCCCCACUGGCCUUGUUGGAAAUGGGCAUUUUGUAACACAAUUUUUGAAUAGUGGGUGGUGAUAACAAAUACCAACAGACAUGAAAUAGAGGAACAGCCUUUUGUAUGAGUUAACACAGAAGCAAGAAUUCCCACUUUUUGGGUUUACUUCUUGUGUGCUGCUUAUUGGCACAUAGUUUUCACAGUGGGCAUCAUAGAGCAGUGAAAAUUCAGGCUCAAAUGGUCAACCUUUGUUAUUCUGUAAUACAGACACUUUUAAUUGCUGGGUGUUGGUCACUCAGACACAUAGUCUGAGAAUGAAAGAAGGACCAAAAGAAAGAAACCUGUCAACAAAAUCUAUCAGGAGUGUUACUCUGGAAGAAGAGUUUAAGUGUUGCUGUUAAGUACAACAAAAAAAAAUCUUCAGACAUAAACGAGAAAGAAAAUUUAAUUACUUACAAUGGCUGAUUAUUGCUAAUGUAGAGAAAACCCUUUUUAAAAAAAAAUGCUUUUAUCUCUGUUUUGUCUCAUAAACACUUGUGUAUCAGAGUGGGAAGAAAAAUGAACAAAACCACAGGACUCAACUGGCAAGAAGAGAUUAGAAAUGCCACAAACCAGUUUUGCAAGAGCAUUCCAAAAUGUAGCCUCGGAUACUCAGGGCUACUUCAAGAAAACAUUGUUUAGCACUCUGUGGACGUCAAGUCCAGAACACAUUGCUGCUUCUUUUUUUUCAGGGUUUGCAGUGGGAGACACUUGACCAUUUACUUACUAUUCCCUACACAUAAAAGCAGCACCAGAAAUGCUCAGAGCAGAGAGCUGGAACUUCUGGGACAACAGGACGUGAACUGGACCAUGGAUGGUGCUUCCAGGCAAGAAGCAUCUGUAACUACUGGGUCAACUCCAGUUUUAUCUCCAGGACUCCGUGGAUCAAACACCUUAAAAGCUGUCUGAAUGUCUGGAGAUAUUUCCAACAAAUGCUGUUCGGUGGUCAUGGCAAACCUUCAAUUAACAGAUUUGAUGCAGCACAUAUCAUUAUCCCAUUACUGAGUCAUCCUUUUCUGCAUUGUCUUUAAAGCUUCUAGAACUUCGUACACUGCGCUUCCUCCCCUGAAACAGAGCAGUGGAUCAAAUCAAGCAGGACUGGUAAGUGUUUUCUAAAUUUAAGAAACAGAUCAUGAACAUUUGAAUUACCAGCAAAGCAAUUUCAUUCAUUUAUCAUCAAAAGUUAGAAACAUCCCUUCUCAGUCAGGUAAUUAGCAACAUGAGUGACAGAGGGUUGUCAGCUGCCCUUUAAAAAUGCAACUGCCCCUUUAGAUAUGUACAGCAGGUUGUGAGUCUCAUGAAAUGUGAGAUGUACAUAAAAACAAAACAUCAGAUCCACUCACCACCUUUUAAUUAUUUACCACAGACAGGAUUUUUAGACUUCUCUUGAUGGAUUCCUAAAAAAGAUUCAAAACAGCAGGAUUCAUCAGAGAAUCCAGCUAUGAAACACAGAGAAGAUCAUGGUGCAUCAUUCAUGUUUUCAAACUCUGUGUUCUGAAGAUGCCUUCAGCAUUGAUUUUGUGCACGUAACUCUAAUUUAUGCCUGAAUUUUGCUGGGUUUCCUGAAUUAAAAGCUCUUCUCCCUAGGAGCUUCAUCAAAUACACACUUCUGUGCUCCAUCUCUAUGACCCCACAGAAACAGCUUGUAUAUCAUCUAAAAAGGAGUUUGAGCUACUGUCUCCCCACCUGUGUAGCUUUGCUGAUGAUUUCUCAGCUGAUGGGUAUAGUUAUAGCCUGGAUAUAGAUAUAUCAGACCCCACAUCUACACUUCUGCAGGAGGCAUUGUAUUUCUACCAAAGACUAAGGUAGAGACUCUGUAAGUAGAGCCUAUACAGAAUUACUAAAAUAAAUGGAAAUCUGAGAAUAAAUUUGGGUAGUUUUCAUGAGGUGCCAUCGGAUUAAUUACCAACACUGUUGAAAAACUACCUAAUAUAGUUAUAAAAAAAUAUAUAUAUAUGAGUUUUACAAAAAUACUAUUUUACCAAAUUAUAAAAUUUGACUCUUCAGUAUCACAAGUUGGAAGAAGGUUAUUUUUCUGUUAAUAUUAAAAUCAUCCAUCUGAUAUCUCCUAAAGCUUGCAAAACUGUUAUAGUAACUACUUGCACAUUUGAUUUUUUUCAAUUUCCAUGCAUAAUACUUCUGGCCAAAACAGAAGGCAAAAAAAAUACAGUGGCUUUCAAAAGAUUCACUCUGAAAAAUACUUAAAUAUUUUUGUAUUCUGUCACCUCCCCACAUUGCCCUGAGCAAUUUAUUUUGAAAAUGGCAUCUGUAAGAAGCGUGAGAAAAAAAAAACCCAACAGAUUCAACUGGCCUUAUUUUGGAAAUUACAACAAUUCAGCAGCAGGGAAAUUUUGAAACUUUUAAAAUUUAAGAUGGGUGAUCACAUUUUUACCCUCUUGUCUCUAUUUUCCUUUCUUCAGGUAUAUUCACCAGAGCUUUUGUGAAAGUCUGGACAGAGAAUAUGAAAUAUUUCAUUCCAGUAUCUAUCAUAAAAAUGAACAUUCUUUAUUUUAUCAUAUAUUGUGAUCUCUCGUAUGCACACAAAAGUCUUUUAGAGUAUAUUUUACAUCUUCUGAAGUUACAUGUUACCUCUCUUAACCUUAGAAAAGCUACAUGCUAUGUAUCUCACAGCAAAUAAAAAUAUAUGACUUUGGAAGCACUGUAAUUAGAAAAUUAGUGUUUUUAAACCCAGAGGCACUAAAAUUAAUUACUGCUCCCUACAUGUUUGAAAGUUUUAUUAAUUUUUUGGUUUAAAGUGAAUAAAUGCAUGGGGUUUACCAUUUCAAAGCUAUAUGAAAGUAUCUUAAUUUUUGAAUAAUUAGUUACUUUACCAGGACAUGUCAAAACUUUCCAGGGUAAGCAUAUUUAGUGCAGAUUUAUGAUAAAAACAAUGGUGUCCCUUAAAUAUUUCAGUAAACAUGGAAACUGAGGAAAAGCUUUUUGGAAUGAUGUCUACUUCACAUGGAAGAGCAUUAAUAUUUUGCAGUUCUUGCUUACACAGAAAUAAUGUUUUUCUUUUAUAAUGCUGGUGAAGUUAGUAAGUGGCUUAUUACAUCUGGAUUUUUUUUUUUUGCUAUAUUUUUCAUUAGACUGUGACUUUCAGAGGUUUAUAGAAAAACACUAGCCUUGCAUAUGCUAUCCUGAAACCCAGACUGUAUUACAGCUAGAGACAAGAAAAAAACAUAAUGUAUGCCAGGAAGUAGAUUUCCCACUCUUCUGUAUAUGGAGCUAUUUCAUUUUAAUGACUUUCAUUAAGAAGACAAAAUUUCAUUGAAUGGAACAAGGAGCAAACUGACAAAGACAUAUUGCCAGAAAACUUCUGUAUCUUCACAAAUGCUAUUUCACACUAGUCUGCCAAUUUUGUGCUCUGCAAUUAUUUAAA